UGGCGACCGGCGCACGGGUGAGUAACGCGUAUCCAACCUUCCCAUGACUGGGGGAUAACCUUGCGAAAGUAAGACUAAUACCCCAUGGUUUCCGAGGCGGACAUCCAAUUUGGAAUAAAGAUUCAUCGGUCAUGGAUGGGGAUGCGUCUGAUUAGCUUGUUGGCGGGGUAACGGCCCACCAAGGCGACGAUCAGUAGGGGUUCUGAGAGGAAGGUCCCCCACAUUGGAACUGAGACACGGUCCAAACUCCUACGGGAGGCAGCAGUGAGGAAUAUUGGUCAAUGGACGAGAGUCUGAACCAGCCAAGUAGCGUGCAGGAUGACGGCCCUAUGGGUUGUAAACUGCUUUUAUACGGGAAUAAAGUCAAUCACGUGUGAUUGUUUGUAUGUACCGUAUGAAUAAGGACCGGCUAAUUCCGUGCCAGCAGCCGCGGUAAUACGGAAGGUCCGGGCGUUAUCCGGAUUUAUUGGGUUUAAAGGGAGCGUAGGCCGCCGAUUAAGCGUGUUGUGAAAUGCCGCAGCUCAACUGUGGCACUGCAGCGCGAACUGGUUGGCUUGAGUGCGCGGAAGGCAGGCGGAAUUUGUGGUGUAGCGGUGAAAUGCUUAGAUAUCACGAAGAACCCCGAUUGCGAAGGCAGCUUGCCGCAGCGUAACUGACGCUGAAGCUCGAAAGUGCGGGUAUCGAACAGGAUUAGAUACCCUGGUAGUCCGCACGGUAAACGAUGGAUGCCCGCUGUUCCGGCUAUAUGUUGGAGUGGCCAAGCGAAAGCGUUAAGCAUCCCACCUGGGGAGUACGCCGGCAACGGUGCAACUCAAAG
rnacentral:rRNA from 1 species